UGGUAAACUCCUGUCUGAGUCAUACAC
rnacentral:piRNA from 1 species